rnacentral:siRNA from 1 species
ACCAUUAACCUGGACCGAAAAAGA